UUAAUACUCCCUCCGUCCGGAAAUACUUGUCCUAGAAAUGGAUGUAUCUAGACUUAUUUUAGUUAUAGAUACAUCCAAUUUAUCCAUUCUUAGAACAAAUAUUUCCCGCCAGCCGGAGAGGGAGUACCUA
rfam:Triticum urartu cultivar G1812 contig605165, whole genome shotgun sequence.